CAAACAGAGUGAAGGAUAAGUAGCAACUUUAACUUUUUGAACAGGAAGCGGCGGUACUGAGAAGUCGUCAAAAGCAAGUUGUGAAUGGCCCUUUAAUCGGGAGCUGGUGAUAAGCUAGUUCGGGUAGCACCCUUAUCGCAUAAGUGGCACGAUUUUUUCGUGCAAUUUAGGUGGUACCACGUCUAAGCGUCCUAAUU
rnacentral:ncRNA from 1 species